rnacentral:rRNA from 1 species
UACGGGGGGGGCAAGCGUUGUUCGGAAUUACUGGGCGUAAAGGGCUCGUAGUCGGCCAACUAAGUCAGACGUGAAAUCCCUCGGCUUAACCGGGGAACUGCGUCUGAUACUGGAUGGCUAGAGAUUGGGAGAGGGAUGCGGAAUUCCAGGUGUAGCGGUGAAAUGCGUAGAUAUCUGGAGGAACACCGGUGGCGAAGGCGGCGUUCUGGACUGCAACUGACACUGAGGAACGAAAGCCAGGGGAGCAAACGGG